CCGAAGGGCAGGAGCAGCGAGGCUGGUCCUGGGCAACGAGAAGGUGCAGGUACCGGGUGGGUCCAGGAAGAAGCCGCAGAGUAAGUCUGGGAGGAAGCAGCAGGUCUCAGGUAGCAGGCCCAGGGAAGUCCGUCAGCGUACGGUCCGUAGAGAAGGAUCUGAAGGCAGAAACCUCGAGUCCGUCAUGGUGAGGGAUCUGAUGGCCGAAACCCUUCACCGGUCUGUCGUGGAGAGAGAUCAGCCUCUAGAUCUGCCGUGGUUGUUGAACCCUCUUUUAUCCUCCAUUUUCUCCUGCCUACGUGACAUUCCUGGGUGCUUGAGCAAGAGUCAUGUGCAUACCUCCUGAGAUGGCCAUCUUCCUCGAGAUAAGUCCACACAAAAAGACCGUUUCCCGGCCAUUAUCAGCAGCUUAUCCCUCUCUCGUUGCCCCCGGCCUUGUCCAUCUGUGCUCCUUAGAGGAUUUCACAAUCCUUAGCCAGGACCUGUCCAUCAGUGUCCUCAAGACAAAAGAUUUCUCUGCCUUUGCCCAGGACUUGCCUGGACUUGUUCCUCAGCAAACUUUGAGUCAAUCAUAUAAAAGAAUAGUCUCUUAUACCUGUGUGUAGAGAGGAAAGGGAGAAGGAGAGUCCCUUUACAGUAAGGACCAUGUGCAACCUAUUACAAGUACAGAAGGCAUGGCGGAUCUCCUGCUGCAAGAGAAAAGCUAUUUUUGAGUUAUAAGUACAGCUUUGAAUAUAGGAAGAAGAUGGUUGCAGCCAUUUAGUAGCAGUGUAUUCAGUGUAAAAUGGCAUACCUUAUAUUUAAGGGAAAAUGAAACCUGAAUAUAUUUGAAUAUUCCAGAUGUUUUCACAAGCUAUUAAGUAAAACUUCUGGGAAGUGUCUAAUUUCUGAAGGCAUUCUCUCUUUUGUAAUCCUUCUCUUUUGUAUUUUUGUGAUCUGGAUGUUCUUUUCCUGAUUGCAGCAUCUGGUUCAGUUUUGUUUGUUUGUUUGUUUGUUUGUUUUGUUUUCUAUAGAGCUACUGAAUUGCCCCUACUAAUCCCUAUAAGAGUGAUUCUUCAUACAGCUUCCAAAGAUUUGUCUAAGAGUCCUGAAUAAGUAUUUUCAUAUAAAUGGAUAUUCACUAAAGUAAGUUCAGUUGAUAGAUGUUGCAUUCUAUACAAAUACUUACCAUAAGGAUCUUUAAUUGUGAAUGUCACGGUUAUUUUCAGUAUGAGGGCAACUUUUUAUAAAAAGAGAGAGACAGAUAGAAAGGUCCAGAUGGAGUUUCUCAUUUUGGAUUUUCUUCCUUGAAAUACUGCAGGUGCAGGUUCAUAAUUUGACAGUGCUGCAUUAUGGAUUAGCUAGUGAAGGCUAUUGUACAGUGAGCAGUGCAGCCAUCUCAUUGACCUCCUCGAAGUCCAAGUGUGUAAUCUCUGUGACACCAACACUGCUGCCAAACUCAUGUUUAAGUGUUGCAGCAAACCAAGUUUUUGAAAGAGCUAUAUUUACAGUACAGACUGAACAUUUAAUUUUGCAAAAUGUAGUUCUAUAAAUAAGUCUAUACAAAACCCAAACAAACAAACAAAAAACCCAAAACACUACAGCAGCACUAUUUUUUUUUUAUUUCCUUGUUUAUUUAUUUUAGAUCUAAAUGAACAAAAACUUAUUUUAGAUGUUAAUGGAUUAAUUAUACUUUCACUUAGACUGAUUACCUGUAUGUGAAGUAUUAACUUGAUGCAAUGUAAAAGGCUUAAGAGAUUAAGACUUUGAAAUAUUUUUAGCAGAAAAAAGCUUGAUUAUAACUAAAAUAAGAAUAAUCUGUGCAAAUCUAUGCAAUAAAUUAUUUUAAAUCCAUAAAUCAAAUGAAGACAUUGAGGGAGGAAGUGUUGAUUAAAUUCAGAAGACAAAAAUCUAGAAAACUGUUAAAAUCCAAAUAUAAACUCAGCAUCUAUCUAAACGUAGAUUUUGCAUUUUCAAAGAUGACUUCUAUACAUGUAGAGUAGGAAUUAUUUUGCUGACACAAAUCUUCCUAUAUCUUUUCACCUCCCUUCCAUUAGCACAAUCUGGUCAUGUGGUAUAAAAACAACAAUGCGAUGAAAAGGUGCCCUCUGCUUAACAUCCUGGCUAAAGGAUCUGAAUCUUGUUAUCAAUGAGUUUUAUAAAAGUACCUAAUUAUACUUGGAGAAGUCUGUGGUUGACUUUUACUUUGCUGGGACAGUGAGACUUUGCUGAGACUCUUCAGGAAAAAAAAAAAAAAAAAAAAAAGAAAGAAACCAAGCACCAUUUGGAUGAUAAAACUUAGAGAAAUGCAAACUUCAGAUGUAAACAGUUUGAAGCCUUAAAUUCAGUAAAAGAAAAUUGUGAAAUAGCAGUAGUGAAGUGGUUUCUCUGUCAAAUAUGGAUGUAAAGAAGAGCUGAGGAGAAAGGAAGCAAACUAACCUAAAGAAAAUGAAGCUUUUCAUACAACCUCGAAUGGCUAAAAUAUAUUAUAGCCUCACAUACCUUUUUCACUGUCACAUACUAUGUACUCUAUGUCCCUUCUUUGUCCAACUUUUCCACACCCUCUCUCCUUACAUGUCAGUUUUCCUUAAGUUUAUCCUUUGCUUUCCUAAUUCCUCCUGAAUUGUUGCAUUUAUAUAUCUGUCCCUGAGACUGUGAGUGCCAGUUGUUUUUCUAGCCUUGUCUUCCACCUCUUGUUUUAUUAGUACUUAUUUUGCACCUCAGGUGACCUUGCUUUUCAUCACAUUUUUUCCACUCCAAAUGGUUUGGUUGCCCUCAGUGCUCACCUUUCUAUUCACCAUCUAUUCAUAUUCACAACUCCUACUCAUAUUUGUUCAUAACAAUAGCGAGGAAAAUACUGUCAGUGGAAAGUUCAUUGGAAGUCAAGAUCAAAAUGCCUGGAUGUAGUAGAACUGAACUUUUAGAGGUUUUGUUUAUUUAUGUAUUUAGCCAGUUUCAUCAUUGUUCAGUUUAAGGCCUGUUAAAUUGUGGGCUUUUUAUAUUUUUGUGGACUAAAUAAAAAUUUAAUUUUUACUUCUGUACAAAAUCUUUUCUUAUUCUUUUUACUUCUCAUUUAUCUUCAGAUUUUAUGCUAUAAAUAUUGAUAGUAAUAAUUUACUGAUAUCAAUUCAUUUCAUAUAUUUUCUAGGUUUAUAAACAAUGUUUUGCAGAAGCUUAGAGUUAACCAGUAAUGGAGCAAUAACCAUUUUGUAGACAGGUGUAAUUACCAAUAUUGAAACAAAUAAGUAAACCAGAUCCUAUUUCAUCUCAUGUUAGUUCAACUGGUUUAACUGACAUUACAGAAAAUACAUAUUACAUAAACUAAAAACACAUUAAUUAUCUGAACAGGCUGAAGUAGGCCAUUCAUCCUUGAGGUAUUUGAGUUGUUUUCUUUUUCUUUUUUUUUUCAUGUAUUUUUUUUCAUUUUGCAUUUUUGUAUUUUCUUUGCAUAUCAGUACAUUUGAGAAAGCAUAGAUUUUGGAAAGUACACCUGCAUUUAUAGCUCAUCUUUUGAUUCAUUUUCCUUUCAUGGGAAAAAAGAAAGAAAGAAAGAAACAAAACAGAAACAACCCAACAACAUAACAACAUUAUUUGAAUUACACUACUGGUAUUGUGUGCUUAAACAAUUCAGAUAUGAUUACCCCCAGUGACACACUUACUGCAUUCUCAUACACAGAAUGACUUUCAGUCCAAGAAACACUUGUGAGACUACUCCUACCAAAACUAAAAUGGUCAAUCGUUUUCAGCUGGUCCAGUUUUCAGCUUCAUUUCUUUCUUCAAGUCAACUGAGGGAUAUUUUUGCAUUACCAGAAGAUACCAUUUCAGUUUACAUCUUAAACUAUACUUUGUCCCCAGAUAAUGCUGUAAAAUGAAUUGCAUUCAGGCAGAGCAUUCUCAAGCACAACUGCUUCAUUUAACAGCAGCAUGUAACUAUUCAAGUCCCAAUCCCCAGAGUUCUCCCUUUGCUAACAGUUCUAGUAUCAGACUUAUACUGGCAAGGUGUUUUAGAGAACACAGCUUUUUUAAGCCAAUUACCUUUCAUUGCGAAAUAUACGAAAUAACAUUUUUCUCCAUUUUAAACAAAAUUACAAAGAAACCUAAGGAAAUUGGGAAAAGGAUGAAGUUUCUUGUUAAUUUCCAAGAUAAGAAAACAAAGAUGAAAUUCAGGAUUUGUCUGAGACUUUUGGUAAUAUCUGAUGGAGCAGAAUCACACAGAAUCGCAGGGGCUAGAAAGGACCUGUGGAGAUCACUGAGUCCAAUCCCCCUGCUACAACAGGUUCUCUAAUUGUACAGGGAAGGGUCUAGAUGAGAUUUGAGUAUUGCCAGAGAAGAAGAUUCCACAACCUCUCCGGGCAGCUUGUUCCAGUGCUCUGUCACCCCAAAAGUAAAGAAGUUUUUCCCCAUAUUUGUAUGGAAUUUUCCGUGUUCCAGUCUUUGCUCGUUGCCCAUUGUCCUGUUGCUGGUUACCACUGAAAAGAAUCUGGCACCAUUUUCUUGACACCUCAAAUUUAGAUAUUUAUAAGCAUUGGUAAGAUCCCUGCUUAGUCUUCUCCAGGCCAAGCAGCCCUAGGUCUCUCAGCCUUUCCACAUAAGAGAGAUAUUUCAGACCCCUAAUUAUCUUUGUAGCCCUCUGAUGGACUCUCUGUGGUUGAAGGAAUCUCUGUCUUCAUUCUUUAAGUUUUUGAACCAGAUUAAUGACACUUAAUCUUUUAAAUUUUGUGGACAAUAAUAGAAGAUGAAUAGAAAAUUCCAUACUGAUGCAGAUUUCUGUAGAGGUCUACCAUUAUAGAAAUCAGAAUGUGAGGAUUCAGACCUGACAUACUCUGCACCAAGUUUUUAAACAAUCAUACUAUGUAUUUGUAUCUGAGAAUUUUCUGUUACAGAAUCCUUUCAGCUAGGGAAAUAUUGUCAGGAAUUUUCUGAUAAGAAGGAAAGGCAUAAAAAGAUUUUUUGUACAGCAAGUUCUGUGGCAGACAAAGGAACCUUCUGAAUUCUGCAUCUGUGCCUUAGAAGAGCCAGUGUUUUCUCCUGGAAUUGACUGUACUUGUAAUGAGGUGUACCUACAUCAUUUAGGAAACUGCUAAUUUUGUUCUAUUUUAUGUAGAAUCUUAGAAUGGCUUGGUUUCAAAGUGACCUUAGAAAUUAUCUAAUUUGAACCCCUCAGCCAAGAGCAGGAUUGCCACCCUCUAGAUCAGGGGCCAUCCAACCUGCCCUUGUACGCCUCCAGAGAUGGGGCAUCCACAACUUCUCUGGGCAACUUGUUCCAGUGCCUCACUCCCCUUCUGUGUAAAAAGUAUCCUCCUAACAGCUAAUCUAAAUCUCUCCUCUUUUAGUUUAAAACCAUUCCUCUUUGUCCUAUCACAAUCAGACUAUGUGAAAAGUCAGUCUUCCUACUGUUUAUAAGCAUUCUUUUACUGCUGGAGGGCCCUAGUGAGGUCUAUCUGGAGUCUUCUCCAAGUUGAAUAAGCUUGCACAGAAAAUUCAGUUCCUAGGUGUAAAGUGGCUAGAUGGAUGUUGUCAUAUCCCAACAGAUGUGAUCAACAAAAUCACUGCCAUGUCUCCACCCAUUAAUAAGAAAGAGACACAAACUUUUCUGGGUGUAAUGGGCUUUUGGAGAAUGCAUGUUCCAAACUAUAGCCUCACUGUAUGCCCCCUCUAUCAGGUAAUGCAGAAGAAUAAUAAUUUGUGUGGGGUCCUGAGCAGCAGCAGGCUUUUGAGCAGAUUAAGCAGGAGAUAGUCUGUGCCGUGGCCCUGGGGCUAGUACAUCCUCUUCACCACUGCUGGAGAGAAAGGUCCCACUUGGAGUUUGUGGCAAAGAGCCUCAGAAGAGACCUGAGGCCGACCCCUGGGAUUUUGGAGUUGAGUGUACAGGGGGUCUGAAGAGUGUUACACUCCAAUUGAAAAGGAGAUCUUAGCCACGCAUGAGGGGGUUUGGGCUGCUUCUGAAGUAAUCGUUACUUAAAAACAGCUCCUUCUAGAACCUCGACUGCCACUGCUGAACUGAAUGUUCAAGGGAAAGGUACCCUCUACCUGUCAUGCUACUAAUGCCACUUAGAGCAAUUGGAUUCCGUUGAUUAUGCAACAAGCUCAGAUUACAUAACAAGCAACCCCAGCUGUUCAGGAGUCCCAGAGGUGAUUAUGGACUGGCCUGAAGGCAAAAAGUUUGGAACAUCACCAGGAGAAGAGGUAUCACGAGCUGAAGAAGCUCCACCAUACAAUGAACUGUCAGAAAAUGAAAUGAAAUGUGCCCUGUUCACAGAUGGAUUGUGUCGUUUUGUGGGGAAGUAUCACACAUUGAAAGCUGCUGUGUGGAGCCCCACAAAAUCAAAAUGCAGAAGCCACCAAAGGUAAAGGAGAAUCAAGUCAGUUCUCAGAGGUGAAAGCUGUCCAGCUGGCCUUAGAUGUUGCUGACCGAGAAAGGUGGCCCAUGCUUUACCUUUAUACUGACACUUGGAUGGUGACAAAUGCCUUAUGGGGGUGGUUACAGCAGUGGGAGCAAAAUAACUGGCAGUGGAGGGGUAAACCUAUAUGGGAUGCUGAACUGUGGAAAGACAUUGCUGCCCAAAUAAAGAAUAUGGUUGUAAAAGUGUGUCAUGCAGAUGCUCAUGUGCUCAAGAGUCAGGCUACUGAAGAACUACAAAAUAACCAUCAGGUAGAUCAAGCUGCCAAAAUUAAGGUGGCUCAAAUAGACUUGGGUUGGCUACACAGAUUGAAUUACUUCUAGCUCGUUGGGCCCAUGAUGACCUUGGGCCAUCAAGGAAGGGAUGCAACAUAUAAAUGGGCUAGAGAUCGAGGGGUGGACUUAACUGUGGACGCUAUUGCUCAAGUUAUUCAUGGCUGUGAAAUAUGUGCCACACUUAAACAAGCCAAGAGGAUGAAACCUCUCCAUGGGGAAGGGCAAUAGCAAAAGUAUAAAUAUGGGGAAGCAUGGCAGGUUGACUAUAUCACUUUGCCAUGAACUUGCAAUGGUAAGCGUUAUGUGCUCACUAUGGUGGAAGCAAACACUGGAUGUCUUGAAACAUAUGCAGUACUCCAUGCUACCACCUGAAGCACCAUAUUAGGUCUCGAGAAACAAGACCUAUGGUGGCAUGGCACUCCAGAAAGAAAUGAGUUAGAUAAUGGGACUCAUUUCAAAAAUUAUCUUGUAAAUACGUGGGCCAAAGAUCAUGGCAUUGAGUGGAUUUAUCAUAUCCCCUACCAUGCACCAGUUUCUGAUAAAAUUAAAUGAUACAAUGAAUUGUUAACCAUGUUGAAAGCAAUGGGUGGUGGAACAUUUAAGCAUUGGAAGAAACAUUUCACAGAAGCCACCUGGUUGGUCAGCACUCGAGGAUCUAUCAAUCGCGAUGGUCCUGCCAGCUACCUACAUACUGUCAAGGGAGAUAAGGUCCCUACAGUACAUGUAAAGGACAUGUUGGGAAAAGCGAUUUGGUUCUUUCCAGCUUCUGGAAAGGGCAAAACUCUUCAUGGAACUAUUUUUGCCCAGGGACCUUGGUCCACUUGGUGCGUUAUGCAGAAAGAUGGGGAUGUUCAAUGUGUACCACAAGGGAAUUUGAUGCUGGGGGAGUGCAGACAGUGAUUCCAUAUACAUAUAUAUAAAUAUGUGUGUGCGUGUGUUUAAUGCUUGGUAAUUAUGGUUUGUUUGUAUAUAUUAAGCAUGAUGUAGCGAUGUAGAAUAAGGGGUGUAAUGUCCUGGUUUUAUGAAUUCGGUUACUGGUAUUCCACAUCAUAACAUCAUUUAGUGCACUGGGAGUAAAAAAGUUAAUGCUCCAGUUCCAGGCAGAUGUCUGGAAUAGAAGAAGAACUACAUUCCCCAGAAAAUUGUUCACUGUUUGAUUUUCGUUCCUGCUCAGGGGGAACACAUAUAAGUCCUCGGUAGGUCAACUGACAUCCCUCUUUUCAAUCAUCAGGCUCUCUCGCUGCUGCUCAUCCUGACUGCACACCAUCAGUGUGAGGCCUUCAGUUUUUUUGGAUGCUCUCUCUCAUUAUAUUUGAUUUAUUAGCUUCAGUUCUAAUUAUGUUGUAUUAUAGCAUGUUAUCUUGCAUUUAGAUACCAUAUUUAGUAAAUUAGUUUGUUUCUCCUCAGAUUGUUGCCACUGUUUUUAAUUAUACAGGGUCCCCCUUUUCCCCUUUCCAGAGGUGAUUCAAGAAUCCCUCUGCCCUGCUAGUCAUGGAACUUGGCCAAACCAGCCUGUAAACCAUUUUGUCAUUUUGACGAUGGUGGCAACAUUGGAAUAUUGCAAAGUUUGUGCAAGGUGAGUCCCAUGAAUGCUUACAUGGGGGCAGAAUAAACAGAAGAAAUAUGCAAGUUUGUCAGGACCUACUGAAUCAAUACAAGGCUGAAGGUGACAGUUUUCUGUAUUGCAUCAUUACUGGUGAUGAGACACUAUGAGCCUAAGUCAAAACAGCCGUCCAUGUACUGGCAGCAUGUGAGUUCCCCAGUGAAGAAAAAGUUCAAGAUUCAGCUCUCAGCUGGUAAAGUAAUGAGCACUGUCUUUUGGGAUAAGAAAGGGGUGAUCCUUCUGGAUUUUUCUGGAAUCCAGACAAAUCAUCAAGUCUGACUAAUACUUCUUGAUGCUGAUUUAGCUGAAGGCUAGAACUUUCAGAAUUAGGCCAGAGAAGGACAGUCCUUCUAUUGCAACACCAGGCCCCAUACCAGUUUGAAGACUAUGUAGUACACUACCAAUCUUGGCUGGACAUCUAUCAUAUGGUCCAGAUUUGGUGCCUUCUUACUUCCUUCUGUUUGGACCGAAGAAAGAUGAACUGUGUAGGCAAUAUUUUUCUAGCAAAGACACCAUCAUAGCAGCUGUGAAAAAGUGGAUCAUCUCUGCUGGUGAAGAUUUUUAUGAGCACAGCAUUCAGGCUCUUGUUCACUGCUGCUGAAAAUACAGAGCUAAUGGUGGUGACUAGUGUUUUAUAGCUGAGAAUUUGAUCUAUCCAAUACUGUUCUUUUGCUCUUUUUAUCUCUUGUCAUUUCCAUGGAAAUAAGCAGGAGGCAUUACCUUUCCUUUAGAAACAUUAAGUAUUUAUUUAUUUCUUCAUCUAACUGUGGAAGCCAAAGUAAGAAAAUGAAAAAAAUUUGUCUUCAAGAGAUCAAAUAUAAGUGCUUUAUGUUAGUGUACACAUGAUUACUUCAAGCAUACUCAUUUCUUUAAAUGCUGCUUUUAUCACUGAUAAGCCUCAAUACAUUUAGACUAAGUUAUCUUCAACUAUAGCAAGUCCAUUUGUAUUAUCCAAAUUAUGCUGUGAGAAAGGGUUGUACAAGUAGCUAAGUACAUACACCUAUCGGACCUGAAUAGUCAUCAUGGGCACAUCAUGUUUGACUAAUAUGACUGCCUUCUAUGUUGGAAUGAUUGUUUAUGUGGACCAGGAAGGGCUGCGUAUGAAAUAUACCUCAACUUGAGCAAGACUUUUGGCAUCCUUUUCCACUGUAUUUUUAUUUAUAAACUGGGGGGGGGGAAAAAAAAAGAAUUAAAAUGAAAAAAAAAAAAAGUGCUGGAUGCAAAUGCAAUGUUAGAUGAAUAGAAAAUAAAAAGGUUAUUUGGAUUCAAAAAAUAGUAAUUAAUGGCUCACCUUGCAGAUGGCAACUAGUCAAUACUGCAGUCUUUCUUAGUUCUUUUCAUUGGUGAUCUGGAUGAUGGGAAUGGACCCUCAGGAAACUUGCACUUGAAGCUGAGUUGAAGAGGAAAGUUUAAGUGAGAUGCUGGGCAGAAAAGCUUUUGAGAAACUUGAGGAUAAGGCCAAGAAAAACCUAAGGAAGUUCAAAAGGUAAACAUUAAAUACUGCCCUUCAGACAAAAUAACCCAGUCCAUUGGUGGAGUCUGCAAACUAAUUGGAGAACUUUACUGGAUUUCAAGCUCUAUAUGGAUAGCAUGUUAUCACCACAAAUAAGGCAAACUGGGUCACAUUGGAAGGAGUAUGGAUAAUAUAUAAAAAGAAUUUAGUAUUCCUUCAUACUAUGCACUAAAUGGGCUGUAAUGGAAUUAUUUUGUAAUCAGCAAACAGUUCAAUACAGUUGUUGAUCCCAAAAAGGUCUAUGAAGAGUCUGACAUCGUUAGAAUGCUAAAGCACAUGAUCUUCAUUGAGAGACUGCAAGAGAGAUGGUGAGAUAGCCUGGGACUUUUCAUAGCAGCCAGUGAAAUUUGAAGAAUUAGAAUAAACUACAAGAAUUAUGGAGUUAACUCUUAGUAGCAGCAUUUAAUAUGAUAAAAAGCAAAAUCCACAAAUUCAGUUUCAGUGUACAAAUUAGAAAAAUGUCUAAGGAGGGUUCACAAGAAAGUUUGUAUAAACCUGAAACAUCUACAAAACUGGAUUUUGGGAUCUUUACCCCGUUUUUUUUUUUUGUUUGUUUGUUUGUUUGUUUUUGCUGUAGGGUUUUUUUUGUUUUGUUUUGUUUUGUUUUUGAGAUUUUCUAUACAAUAUCACAGCUGACCUGAUCUACUAUUACUGUUUGUGGUCCUGCUCCGAGUGAGAUAUCAACUAGAUGGCCUCUAGACAUUCCUUGCAAUCAACAUUUCUACAAUUCUGUGCCUUCUGUGUAUUUGCAUACUUUAGUUGUCCUCGUACACUAAAUUGGGUGGAAAAAAUGUAGUCAGGGCCUGUGAUUACUGUGUUUAUUACACAUGUAGACAUGAUAGUAUAGGAAUUCAAUGAUUAAUUAAAUAUUUCCUUUUCUUCCCAUGAGCAUUGGGAGAUGCUUAAAUACAGAGACAAGAAUAGCUUUACUAUCAUAAUCCCUAAACAGUAGCAAGAAGCAUGUUUUGUUAUCUUCAUUCCCUGGGAUCCUUAAUAAUGUUUGUACAAAUUAAAAACUGUUAAUAGCAGAAUACUGUAAUUGAUUAGCUUCUGUAUGUUUACAGCUCUCUUUAAUUGCUUAAAAAUGUCAUUUGUCAGCUUCAUGUUCUAUUGACAAUAUUAUUGAUUUAUCUGAUUUGGGCUUUGUCUUGUCUCUCGUACAUAAAACUCACAUAUGCAGUUCAAAUGGGAAAUGACUCUAUUGAUUUCCUUAACUUGAGCCCAAAUGCUAAAGAUUUUUGGAUAAGCUUUCUCAUUACUUAAGCCAAAAUCAAUAAGAGAGAGCAUCUUUUAAUGAAAGAGCAGUUUGAGCAACAUACUUCAGAAAUGGGGUCCUGUUCAUCCUUUGCUUUACAAAUCGAUCUCCUUGGUUCCUUAAGUGAGGUCCAAUUGGUUGACAUUGUGGUUUGUCUUUGUGUGUAAACUUACAGCUUCAGAAAAGAGAAGAUGAGCUACAAAGACAGCAAUAGGAAACACUCUGCAACAGAGCAAGGAUGAUCUUACUGAGCUGGAAGACUGAAAGACGAUUGUUCAUGAACACAAGCAGCCUUCAGUGGACAUUCAGUGCGUGCCUACAGCUGGAGAAGCUCACUGGUGUGAUGCUUUUGUUGCUCAUAAAUCUGAUUUCACAGAACUUGAAAAGAAGUUGGAUGAUACCAAAAGGGAACUGGAGGAGGUGCAUGCUGAUCUUGUCAUGGUCAUGCAGGAACUUGAUUUGGCAAGAGCUGAGGUACAACUAUGUGUUUGAAGAUCACGUGAAUGAGUGCUGCAAGACCAGGUUUUUUUGUCUCCUUUGUGGUAGUGGUUAUUGAAUGAUUCUUUAUAUAUAUACAUAUAUAUGUAUGUAUGUAUAUUUAACAGAAGAAGGACAUUUUAUUCUGAAUGUCCAGAUAUUCUUAAUGAUCAAUAUAGAGAAACUGAUUUCACUAUCAUUAUUGCACAUUUAUAUGUAUGUAAGAUACGUAAGCUAUGUCUCCUCACAUGUAAACAUACAAACCCCAUGUAUUCAUGCUGACAUUGUCUAAAUAUAAAGCUUUUCAGUUUCAAUUUUUCUAGAAAAACCCAGAAGAACAAACAGCGAAAUCAACACAACACCAAACCAAACUUUAGUGCUGUCAAUCUUGGUAUUGUGAGGAAUUUUACUGAUAAAUCUACUAAAUGUUGUUCAUUCACUGUGUAACAUCAGCUAAUCAGGUACUUAUAACUGGGAAAUUCUGUUUUUUCCCUCAAUACUAUUACAUGCUCCAACUUAAUUUUAAAUACUCCAAAACAUUCAAACAUUCAGCUUUUUUUACUGACUGCAGGAAGCCACUAGUAGAAGUAGUGGUAUGACAAAAAAAAUUCAAUUUUCUGUAUGAUGUAUAAGGCAUUAAGACAUUCAUGUAGUCAGACAGAAAUAAAAGUAAUUCUGUAGUACUAGAAGUUUAUAGGAAAUGUAAUGGUUGAAUAGAAAUUCAGAUUUCUUAUUUUACCUUGUUCAUUGCAAAUAAUAGAAAAAAAAUAUAUUAAGCUAUUUAAAUUCUGGUGGAAAUUUACUUUUGAUCUGUCCUAGUUGCACUAAAAUAUUAGCAGCUUACCUUCCUAGGUAUCCAUUUCAGUGUAGAAAUCGGAUAGUGUUUUGACAGUAAUAUCUUAGUAAGCAGAGUAAAAUAAUGUGACCAUGUGUGUAUUAACUUAUCCAAAAAUUCAGAGCUAGGCCUAAUUCUUUAUCUUAUUGAUUUUUUACUCGAGGGCUAACGCACAGUAUUUUUAAACAUUUCCAAUGAAGCAAUGGAAAUACAACUUAAUAAAAUAAAUAAUGAGUCUACCAUUUGACUGACAUUAGCAGAUUUUAAUUUACCCUAGUAUACUCUGAUUUGUGGUAACUGUACAUCUACAGUUUAAAAGAGAUUUAAUGUAUUCUGUAGGUACAGAAAUUUUUCAUAAAAGAAUGCUUGUAAUCUUACACAGAUAUAGUAAUUUGUCUUGGUAUACAAGUAUGUGUAAAUUCUAGCAUUGUAAUGAAAAUCUGAUUAUGAUUUAGCUGCAUUAAACAUAUCAAUAUAAUCUAGUACAAAUUUACUUCUUGUUUUUAAUGAUUCGGAUUCUACAACUGUAACAUCACUGUGUAGUAUUUAGUACUCCUGAAAAAUAUACUGUGGUAUACGACCUGUACUAUAUGAUGGGAACACUCUGAAUCACGUAACAAUGUGCUAUAUAGAAUAUUUUAUUAUCUAGAGUAAUUACAUUAUGCUAAGGAAGUAAAAAAAAAAAGAAAAAAAAAUCUUUCACUUCAUUUGUUUUGUUAGCUUUUGUAUAAUGUUUUCUAUGAAUUAAUUUUACAUACUGACUCAUCUUCUUUAUUUAUAUUUUAAGAGUCUUUUUUAAAGAUUAGAAAUAGUGAUAAAAUCAUUGCUCAGUGAAGCAAACAGACUUUGAAUCCAGCUAUGCACAUUAGAAGGAUGUUACACACUGCACACUUUUAAUAAUGAUCAUUUAGAAGAUAAUUUUAGCAUCCACACAAGGGAAAAAUGGAUUUUUGAUGAGUUCUUAUAUGACCAUAUGUGGUAUUAGUCAGUGUGAGGUAUUGCUAGCGAGCUCAUUGCUUUCAAAAAUCAAAGUUAAAUGGUUCAUCUAUCAUCAGAAUUUGUGUCUGGGCGACUUGUCUGAACAUCAGUAUGAUUUAUGGUUUGAAUUGGAGGAGUCAACCAUGCAUGUUUCUUAGUUUAUCGUUUUAUGCUGUCUUCAAUUAAAUGUCUAUAAACACAGUGAUGGCUUUAUGACAUUGUCCAUCAAUAAAGACUAUCAGAUUUUGCAUGAGAAUAUGUAAUUUUCAGAAAAAAUAAUGACCUUUUGACUUCUAUGUGCCCUGCUGUACACAUGAUAUAUAUGACAUGUUUAGACUUCAGUUUUUAUCCUAGAUCCAUUUGAUUUUAAUCUUACAGACUAAUUAAGACAGUGGCCAUAUUUUAUUUAACAUAAUUCAGAUAGACUACCAUCUAGGAUUUUUGAUGAAACUAUCAGAUGGUGAUAUAUUCAGUAAUAAUAGUCAGAUAUAACAGGUGCAUGUCUCUAAGAGUAUUUAGAAAAUAUAUUAUUUUAAUUGUUCUGAAACAAAUUGAAAGUGAUAUCAGCGCAGUUUAUUGCAUAUUGAUUCAGUAUUUGCUUAUUUUAGCAUUUCUUUUUUUUUUUUUAAGACAAAAUAAUGCAUACAUUACAAUUAAAUUAAACCAUUCCGCAAAAUGGAUGAAUACUGAAAAACAUAGGCUCUCAUUUUCUUCAGGGACAUUGAAUAAUGAUACUUUCACUCUUCGUAUUUAUGAAUUACAGUAUAGUAUACACAGUGGCAGCAUAUGGAGGCUGAAUCAUUUUCUGCGCAGCUGUGCCCUGAUAUUGCUGUCGACAGCUAUGGACUGUAAAAAAAAAAAACAUUAGUCCAGCUCUUCAGGCUAUACUGAAUAUCUUUUGAGUAUGUUUUUAUUGAAAAGGUGUAUAUUUCAUGAUGUUUUUUGUUUUGUUUUGCUUUGUUUUGUUUUGCUUUGUUUUUAAUAGGCCAUAGAAACUUAAGGUGAUACAGAACCAUUUAUCUGAAAUGUAGUAGUAUAGCUUUUAAGUAAAUUUUGGAUAGAAGAAGGAAAUAUUUCAUAUGCAAAAUCUAGCUAACACAGCAUCCAAGCUCCUAUCUGCAUGCAUAUUACUACACAGGAAAUGUAUGAGACGUGGGCAAAUAUGUAUUUGUUGAAUAUUUCAGCAACACAGGUUAGUGAAAAUUAUAAACAUAACGUACGCUCAUUCCAGCCUGCCUAAUAUUCUUCUGAGCUUUUGUGGAGAUGCUUGCUGUAAAUUUUUCUGUAUCAUGAGGACAUGACCUGAAUUCAUUUUGUAUUUGGUGCAUUCUCACAAGUUACAAGUUGGCAGACACCAGAUGGUGCUAGGGAGGCAACUGUCAAAAACCUAUAAAAACUUAAGUCAAACUGAAGUUAAUAGAAUUUGAGGUUUUACUGUUGAGUAGGUGUCUACUGCUGGGUAGGCAGAUCUUCCUUUUGCUAUAACAAUUAAUAUCCUUGCAAGUAUAUCUUCUCGCGCUAUUUGUCUCUGAUACAUUUUUUUUUUCAAUAGCUUCAGUGCAGCCUAUCUAGAAGAUACCUCCAUAUAAACAAAAAUAUUCCAUAUCGUUUCUUGUAAGAUCACAAUCCAUCUGAGAUGAACAUAUUCUAAAACUUAUCAGGUUAUCAGAUUUACUUCCUUCUCUAGAGAGUAGGAAUCUUUUCAGCAGACUGGAAGAAUCCAGUUAAUGUAACAUAUAUUAAGGUCCUCAUACCACAGAAAGUGGAUGAAGUAGUACUGUAACUUUUGGGAGUCGGUGGCAGUCUGUGAACAAUCUUUUUAGGACUAGACAUCUAAACUUAAUCACAUUACAUGUGGAAUGUCUGACGGUGCUGGGUAUGACAGUACUUAUCCAUACAUUCCAGACUAAGGGAACUGAUAUAUUACCAUAUGGACUUAAUUUAAACAGAUGCUCAAGUAAUUGUGUUUUACAUUAAUAAACAGCCAGUACCUGAGAACAGCUUCCUGUACAUGGAGUCCUUGUAAAUAUGACAGGAAGCUGUACUGUACAAGUCAUCCUUGUUUUGUUCUAUUAAGAAGUCAGCACUUUCUAAUGGAAACCACACGAUGCUAUGGUUAUUUUAUUAUUUUAAACAUAGAAAUAAAGUACAAUAUACAAUAUGUGCUGAACAGCUUUUUGAACAAGUAUAUCUGAGAACAACAAGAAGACCAUGACUUAAACAAAACUGAAUUCUACAGAAUCACUGGAUGAUGGGAAAAUUCAAAUAAAAUGGAUGUCAGGUCUAUUCUCCAGCCUCCUGCUGGAAGCUGUCUCAGCUAUGAGGAUAGACCAAGUUUUUCAGGGUUUUACUUAGCCUAAUACAAGUUCUUCCAGUGCUUGAUCCUCCUCAUGAAAAGUGUCCAGUCCAAAACUGUCUUGUUCUAAAUAAUGCCUGCUGUAGAAAGGGACUUCAGGUAGUCCAUCCCCAGGCUGUACCAAUACAAGGGAUUCUUUUGUUCCAGGUAUAGGACUUAGCCUUUUAUAUAGUUAAGUAUCAUAAGGUUGAUGUUCAUUCCAUUAGCCUGUUCAGAUCCCUUACUAAAUCCCUGUUCUCAAUUCUAUUGACUUGUCCUCUCAGUUUGGUGUCACCCAGAAACUUGAUGAGAGUGCACUCCAUGGCAUUCUCUGGGUCACUGACUAAGCUUUUAGAGAAGCAAAGUCCUAGUACAGUCAUGAUUCUGUGAUAAUGUGAUCUGUGGUAUGCCAUUUGUUACAGGCCUCCAGUUGGAAAAUGACUUAUUAACUGCUAGUUAAACAAUUGUUAUUCAUCUAGCUGUAAAUUCAUGCAGGUCAUAAUGACUUAACUCAGAUAUUUCUGGAGACAGUCUUGAAAGCUUUGCAAAAGUUGUGGUACAUGACAUCUUUGGUAUUAUACAGUCAUUGCUUAAGGGACUGAAAAGAUAUCUUUGCUAUAUAUUUGAAGAAAAAAUAAAACUCCAAGAACAGAUUUAUACAAAAAUUUAGACAUUGACAGUUCAGAGUUUAUUAUUAAAAACGGACAGUUAUGAAUAAAGAUGAACAUGGAAGGGUUCCAAAGGAGACAAUCAUGAAGGACAAGUAAUUAAAGGAGUAAGUCCCUGGUACCUGAAAGAUGUAAAUAAUUUAAAUACCUUUAGAAUCUUCUGAAUUUAUAUUAGUGAGAUUCAUUUCUAAAUUCAUUUCUGAAUUUGGGAGCCUGCCUGUAGUCAUCAACAUAUGGGGAAUGUAUGUGUAAAGACACAAAACAAUUAAUGGAAGCCAGAGUGAUUUUGCUCAUUAUUAAGUAGAUAGUUUUGUCAACUUACUAGCUGUCCAGAUCAUUUAAGUUCAAUUUACUGGCUAGGUCUCCAGUGGCCAUGAAACUUAGAUAUCUAAUUCACAUGUUGAUACUUAAAUGAGAAGUAUAAAAUAAAGAGUGUUUAAAAGCAAGCAAACAAACAAACAAAUAAACAAAACAAACAAUUGGCAAAGUAUUUCCCCCUAUGCUUAAGAUACAUACUGAAGGAAUAUGAUUUUACCAAACUUAUUCAGGCCAUAAAUUAGUUUGCUACUGACGCACUUGUCAGUGUGCUGAAAACAGUAGUGUGUGUACUACUGAUCUAAUAAUGAACACUAUCAUCUCUUCGUGUUUUUUUUUUUUUUUUUCUUCCUCUUUUCUUCUCCCCCAGGUGUUUGCUUUUCAGUUUAACAACAACUUUGGGGUUUUCCAUUCAAUUUAAGAGUGGAGCAUACAAUACACUGUAUCAAGGUGGAUAACACUUGCCCAGAUAUUUGAACAUUGAGGAAAUGAUAAAGAAUAUUGAUUUAUUGUACUUUAAAAGGAUUUAGGAAUAAUAUUUGCUCAAGAUACUUUAUUAGAGACAACUAAUUUUCAGUGUUAAUCACACAAUAAUUAAAGAUACAUAUGACUUCCAGGCAUGAUCUGUUAACAUAAGGUCCUUUUAAAAAAUGUGGUUCCCCCAGCCACAUUAGAAAGAUGAAGGACUGCAUGAAUCAAAGAUUCAUAAGCCUAGUUAUAGAGUGUCAUCAGAAAAUUAAAGACAGAAUAAAAGAUUAUCUGUGAUGGUUCAGAAGGAAAAGCAAUGAAAGGAAGCACAAACAGGACUGUAUCAAAUUCAUCUCUUCUAGUUAUCUGAUGGGGGCAGAUAUUUUGCUUCUAAUUCACCAUAGUGUGUGCUGUAGACUUAGCAGUACACUUCUGCCUACCAGAAAUAAAUAAACAAAUCUGAUUUAUGUUGGUAUAAGAAUACUUCAUUUUGGGUAUGUACACACCAAAGGGUUCUUCAGAGUUGUGAAUUUGUUUUGUUUUGUUUUUAAUAUUAUUAUUAUAUUGUAUUAUUUAAAUACAGAAAUACCUUUGACAUCGUCAUGCUAAUUGUUGUGGUGAACUAAAUACUAAACCAUUACACGAAACAAAAUACAAAAUAUAUAAACUAAAUAUUUUUCCUAGUAUUUUCAUUUCACAACAUCACAUAAUUAUGAGGAAAAAAAAAUUAUAUUGCCCACAAUUUAGAUCCAGUUUCUGAGAUCGUUUUUAUGUAUGUGCAUAAAAUAUGCAUAUAAAGCUUUAGCUUCAUGAGUAAGAUAUCUCUUCUUUUAGACUCAUUUAUUUUCAUAAUCACAGCUGUAUCUGAAAAAAUACAAAUGUCUUAAAAUAUUUUAAUAUUUUUUCAAAGUUGAUUUACUAUUUUGGUCAUGUCAUGAUGUCAGACACCCAUAAAAACAGACUGUUUAAUUUUCAUAGUAUAUAUUUGAAAGGUUAACACGUAAUUUAACUUGCCUAUUUCUCACUGCUUAUACUGAAAAGAAAAAAAAAAUAAAAGAAAGCAGAAUCUAUAAAACUUUUAUACUUAGGCUAAAAGUGAAUUAAAAGAUUAACAUUUAUUAUUAUUAUUCAAUUUUGCUGUUUGGGUUAUUUUCAUAGUAUCUUGGUCCGUAAUCCUACCAUGUGCUUUUGUACAGUGGUUUGUUGGUUUUAUAUAAAUUUCUUAUUGUAAUUAAUGUUGUUUUUAUUUACUGAGCCUUAUUGUCUUUGUAAAAUAAAAAUCCAAAGUUACCUACCAAGGGUGAAUGAUAAAGCAUUAUUUUCAUGAAAAAUGACGUUAUACUUAUUAAUAUAUUUUUUUUCUUAUUUCUAGACUACAGAUUUUAUACAAAGAUAAUAUGAUUUGCCUUGCAAAAGUAGAAUAUUAUCAAAACAUUAUGAUCAUAAAUUAGGAACUGAACGAAGAAAGAGAAGCUAGAAAAUUUAAAGUACAAAUUGGACAGAGCAAAACUGAAGUUAUGAAAAUAUGUUAUGCUAUUAAA